rnacentral:rRNA from 1 species
GACGGAGGGGGCAAGCGUUGUCCGGAAUUACUGGGCGUAAAGCGCGCGUAGGCGGACUGGAAAGUCAGGGGUGAAAUCCCGGGGCUCAACUCCGGAACUGCCUUUGAAACUCCCAGUCUUGAGGUCGAGAGAGGUGAGUGGAAUUCCGAGUGUAGAGGUGAAAUUCGUAGAUAUUCGGAGGAACACCAGUGGCGAAGGCGGCUCACUGGCUCGAUACUGACGCUGAGGUGCGAAAGCGUGGGGAGCAAACAGG